GUAGGUGGCAAGCGUUGUCCGGGAAUUAUUGGGGCGUAAAAGCGCGCGCAGGCGGGUUCGUUUAAGUCUGAUGUGAAAAGCCCACGGGCUCAACCGUGGAGGGUCAUUGGAAACUGGAGAACUUGAGUACAGAAGAGGAAAGCGGAAUUCCACGUGUAGCGGUGAAAUGCGUAGAGAUGUGGAGGAACGCCAGUGGCGAAGGCGGCUUUCUGGUCUGUAACUGACGCUGAGGCGCGAAAGCGGUGGGGAGCAAACAGGAUUAGAUACCCUGGUAGUCCACGACCGUAAACGAUGAGUGCUAAGUGUUAGGGGGUUUCCGCCCCUUAGUGCUGCAGCUAACGCAUUAAGCACUCCGCCUGGGGAGUACGGCCGCAAGGUUG
rnacentral:rRNA from 1 species